rnacentral:rRNA from 1 species
GCCUGGCCGACCGAGGGAGAUGGGCUCGCGUCGCGGUACUGACACCCCGGGGCGUCUCUGCCCUACUCAUGGGAGAGGCGCCCAGAGCGGUACACGUUGGACGAAAGAUGGUGAAUCAUGCCGGUCAGGACGAAGUCAGGGGAAACUCUGAUGGGAUCCGUAGCGUCCUGACGGCAAUCGACUCGUCGGAACUGGGUAUAGGGCAGAACUAAUCGAACUAUCUAGUAGCUGGUUCCUCCAAGUUUCCUCAGAAGCAUGGCAGCUCGGCCGUUCCAAUGUAACGCGCGAGUCUCAUCUGGUUUAGAAUGAUUGAGGGCCUUGGGCGAAUGCGACCUCAACCUAUUCUCAGACUUUGGGUGAGAUCUCUGGCUUUCUUGAAUUCAGAGCCACGAAUCCUGACUGGACGAGCUGCCAAGUGGGCCAUUUUGCUGGGCGAACUGGCGCUGUGGGGAUGAACAAAUCAGCAGAUGUUAGCGCAACUCGACCUCAUGGGACACCAUGAAGGCGUUGUUGCUUAAGACAGGCAGGACGGGGCAUGCGAGUCGGAAUCCGCUAAGGAGGAAACUCACCUGCCGAGCAACUAGCCCUGAAAUGAGGCCUGAAGCGUCGAGCCCAUAGACUCCGUCAGCGCAGCGGUGCGGCAUGCGAGCCGCGGUCGUCACGAGGCCUGAGAGUAGGAGGGUCGCGGCGGUGGCGCAGAAGGGUCUGCGUGAGCCUGCCUGGAGCGCCGUCAGGCAGGAUUGCAGUGGUAGUGAGUAAUACUCAGCGAGGCCCUGAGGACUGACGUGGAGAAAGGGUUUCAAGUGUGAACAGCCGUUGCACACGAGUCAGUCGAUCCUGAGUCCUAUGAAACAUGCAUCGUGACGGCGAUAUACCUCGAGGCUGUUCACUCCCCCUAUCAUGUCUGUGUCUCUUACGGAGAGCAGCAGCAGCAAGCAGAGCGGGCCGGCGAAAGAGGGCAGCGACAUCGUGGUAAGCUCAGUCGCGAGCGCAUGAGCGAGCGGCGGUGCGUGGAAACUCGAUCAGAGACGACGUGCGGACACGCGCGAGCGCGGGCCGCGCAGCCGACGGUGUUGUCGCGGAAGAGGCACGCCGUCGGGUCGAAAGGGAUCAGUUCCUAUUCUGAACCGGCAAGGGAACUCGCACUCACGGCCCCGCUAGAGUGUUCGUCGGGCUAACCAAAAUGACCUGAGACGCCGUCUAGGAUCCAGGAAGAGUUUGCUUUUCGUUAGCGCCGAGUCUCCCUGGAAACUCUAGCAGGAGAAUGGGUUGAACGCGAGAACUCGGCGUGCGGCGGUGGCCGGACUUCUCCCUGUACCGAAAUCCAGGAGGGCCACGUGAGCGUUCGCGCGGUUCGUACCAUGUCAGCAGGUCUUCCAGGAAAGAGUCAGGUCGAUAGAUUACUGAGCAGGCGCGAAGCCAAGGUACCGAUCUCAACUGGAUAAGUCAUGCUCUGAGGAGCGGCGUACGUACGGGUCGGAGCGGGUCUGGCUGACGUCCGGGCUCGGCGAGGUGGUCGGCGUUCUCGCGCCGUUGCUGCUGGAUCGGCCGACCGCGCUCUGGGCCUCCCGCGGUCUUCUGCUGCGCUUCCGUGGCGCGAGCCGUCGUGGUCGUCCUCUUCGGCUGCCAUUCAACGCCUCAGCUCUCAGAACUGGCUGGAUUCAGGGAAUCCGACUGUUCUAAUUAAAACAUAAAGUGCGAUGGCCCCGGGUGUUGACCAAUGUGAUUUCUGCCCAGUGCUCUGAAGUCAACGUGAAGAAAUCCAAGCAAGCGCAGAGUAGCUGGCGGGUAACUAUGACUCUCUUAAGUGCCAAAUGCCUCGUCAUCACCAGUGUGAUCGCGCAUGAAUGGAUUAACGAGCUCCACUGUCCCUAUCUCUAUCUAGCGAAACCACUGCCAGGAACGGGCUUGGAAAAUUAGCGGGAAAGAAGACCCUGUGGCUUGACUCUAGUCUGGCAUGUAGGAGACAUGAGAGGUGUAGCAUAAGGGAGAUGAGCAUCGCCGGAAAUACACUACUUUCAUGUUCUCCUACUUACUCGGUUAGGCGGGCGCGUCCCUCGAGAGGCCUUCAGCCCCGACGUGAACUGGUCUGGCGUUGUAGGUGGCGUGAGGCUUGGUCGAUCGCCGUUUAUACUCCCGCUGAGUCCGAUUCGAGACACGCCAGGCGGGAGUUUGACUGGGGCGUACAUCUGUCAAGAAUAACGCAGGUGUCUAAGCCAGCUCGCGAGGACCAGAAACCUCGCUGUAGCAAGAGGGCAAAGCUGGCGAUCUCUGAUGUUCAGUACGCAAGAGACUGCAAGCACGGCCUAUCGAUCGCGCAACGAAGAGUUUUCAGCAAGAGGUGUCAGAAAGUUACCACAGGGAUAACUGCUUGUGGCGGCCAAGCGUUCAUAGCGAUCGCUUUUGAUCCUUCGAUGUCGGCUCCCUAUCAUUGCGAAGCA